AUUAUUAUUAUUAUUAUUACGGUUUCCGGGCCGUGUGUAGCUGGUACCUACAACGAGCCGGGCGACCUGCAGUUUCCGCGGGGUCCGUGGCGAGGCGGUCCGCGAACGGUGUUCCGACGGUUCGCGAGCGCGGGUACUCCUCGACAACGCCAACGCCGCCGCAAUAACAAUAACGGCAGACGCACUCGAAAAUAAUAAUUUCGAACACUUGUCGCGCGGUUGAAUAUUUCCCUCGCCGCCG